rnacentral:lncRNA from 1 species
CACUCCGUAUCUAGCUAAUCUGGUAGGGACGUGGAGAACCUUUGUGUCUGGCUCAGGGAUUGUAAACACACCAAUCAGCGCCCUAUCAAAACAGACCACUGGGCUCUACCAAUCAGCAGGAUGUGGGUGAGGCCGGAUAAGAGAAUAAAAGCAGGCUGCCCCAGCUAGCAGUGGCAACCUGCUCGGGUCCCCUGCCACACUAUGGAAGCUUUGUUCUUUUGCUCUUUGCAAUAAAUCUUGCUACUGCUUACUCUUUGGGUCCACACUGCCUUCAUGAGCUGUAACACUCACCGGGAAGGUCUGCAACUUCACUCCUGAGCCAGCGAGACCACGAGCCCACUGGAAGGAACAAACUCCCGCACGCCGCCUUUAAGAACUGUAACACUCACAGAGAGGGCCCGCGGCUUCAUUCCCGAAGUCAGUGAGACCAAGAACCAACCAAUUCCGGGCACGGGAUCAAUUGGGAUUAGAAUUUUAUCCUACUGCUAAAACAUAAAGCAAAAAGGCCAAAAGUGAUCUCACCUUUUCAGAGAAACGCACUUAAAUAGCAGCAGCAGGUGCCUCUCUUUUCUGAGCUUCCCUUCACCUGAAUGUGGUUCUGGUACUUAAAGUUUCUUUUUCUGCAUCCGCUGCUCUGUUAAGUGAUCACCACAUUCAUUGUUCUCGUUUCUAUUAUUUCUGAAAAAAAUCUUCAGGAUUCUGCUUGUGGGAGUGGAUGACAUUUUUACAGUGUUUACAGACACAAAAUGAACAAGAUGUCUGUGGCAACCCUCAGACCAUUGACGCCUUCUCUCCUAUGUAUCAAAUCACACAUUUGGACGUUGACUGAACCCUCACAUGUCAGAUGCUCAAUAUUGAGGUAUAGUAAAAGGGAGCAUGAACUUGAGAAAAUACGCUUUCAACACAAAGCUGUAAUAAUAUAAGGUCAAAUAAGAUUCUGCAUUGGAGAUAGAAAACUCUGAAGGAAGCUUUAUCUAUUCCAGAAUGUCAUAUAGCUGGUAUAAGAAAGAACACUAAUCAUUCCUAAGGAAGAAAAUUAACAACGCCGUGAGUUAUAAUAUCUGGCUGAAACUGAAGGAGCUCUGUGUAAUUAAAAGUCCUUUCUGCCCUGCCUGGCCAUGGUUCUGUAUGCAUUGAUGUCUUACAAACUGAAAAAAAAAAAAGUUAUUUUCUCAUCUCCAUUCCCUAGCAUAGACAUAUUACAUGAUGUGGAAUUGAAACAAGAAAAUUGCAUUUUAAUCUUCCACUCAGAACAUAGAAGAAUGAAACAAACAAACAAAAAAUACUCUGUUGUCUUAGUCUACCACAAGCAAAAUCUGGCAGUCUCUUUGCUUUGGUAAUGGCAUAAAUUCCUUGAUUAGCCUAUAGGAUAGCCCAUUGUUCUGCUCUUUUAGUGGAAUAGCUAGCAAUUGCUUUGUCAUUUUUUCCCCAUGGUUCCUACCAUUAGUGUUGGGAGGUUUCUUCUUUGUUUUUUUGAGAAAGAGGAAAAAGUUGUUAUAUUUUCAUAAAAACUUAAAUUUCAUCCAAAAUACUUGAUUUUCAUGAAGAAAGUAAAUAUCUCUGCCCCUAGUAUACAUGUGUGGAAACUUUCAGAACCCUGAAGAUAAAUACAUUUCAAACAAGUGAGUUUGAAAAUAUCAAUAGCAAAAUAGGAAGUAAGCUAAUUAGAGAGGUAAGAACUAGAUGGCUUAGCAUUCCAAUAAUAAUAUAUAACCUUCUUUAAGAGUAAAAUCUUGGUCAAAAGACAGAUGAAAACUCCAAUAAAAUUUCACAACUCAUGGAAAAGUCUAUCUUCGUAAUUCUUUAUGAAGCAAACUAUAUAUAUAUAAAACAUAUAUAUAUAUAUAUUUGAGACAGAGUUUCGCUCUUGUUGCCCAGGCUGGAGUGCAGUGGUGCGAUCUUGGCUCAUGGCAGCCUCUGUCUCCCGGGUUCAAGUGAUUCUCCUGACACAGCCUUGUAAGUGGUUGGGAUUACAGGUGUGUGCUAUCAUGCCCGGCUAAUUCUGUAUUUUGAGUAGAGACGGGGGUUUCUCCACGUUGGUCAGGGUGGUCUCGAACUCCCGACCUCAGGUGAUACCCUCGCCUCGACCUCUCAGAAUGCUGGGAUUAGAGGCUUGAGCCACCACGCCUAGCUGCAAACAUAUUUCUUAUAUUUUCCAACAUCACAAAAUUUUACUGAGCUAUGAUAUGUACUAAAAGCUGAUAAAGAUGGUGUUGUUAUAUUUAACAGUACUCUGAAUUUUGUUGCCAUUUCUAAAAUUGUAUUCAGAGGAAAUUAUGCCCAUGUUUCUAUAGAGAGAAUUUUAAAAAAUACAUGAGCAUAGAAAUUUGAGCAACAUUGAUUAAGGUUCCAUAAAAUUGAAGCAGGAAAUAGUAUAGAAUAUACUUUUGCUCACUCUAUUAAAAUAAGUCUCUCAUAAGUAUGCUUCAGUUAAGUUCGAAGGGUAGGAAAAUUAACCUGGAACGGGGCAUUCAGAUAUAAGUAAGUUUAUUUUGGAGAAAUUUCUAUGUCAGCUGAGAUUAUUUUCUAUAAAAACAGAAGAAAGAUGAAUAUCACUAAUGAUAGCACAAACCACUAAUUAGAAGGCAGUAUGUAGAAUUUUUCUGGAAAAAUAAAACUAUAAAUGACAAAUUAAUUUUAGCAGAAAUUGUAAGAAAAUGCAAUGAGGGUAAUAGGAAUGUUAUCUUUGAAUACAAUGGACAGCAAAUUGUAAACUGAAUGUAUUCACUAACACAAAAGAGAAAAUUACUUUUAAUGAUUGCCUAUUGUUUCUCUCUACAUAAAGUUUGAGUUUCAUGUCUGAUGACCUUAUGGCUUUUUAAAUAGACACUUCAUGUGACAUCAUUAAAUUACUUUAUACAGUAUUACUACAUUUCUAUGGUAAAAUUUAAGCAAGAGAUUAAUUUUGAAAGACUUUCAGAGAAAGACUUGUAAAUACAGACAUGAGACAUAAAUCUGAUGUGGGCC